GUCGUUGGCGCGACAUUGCGCGACGCCGCGUGGUCUCUCGAACCGGCGCACGAGACGGCCCCCGUCGGUGUGCAGACCCGCGUCAAUUCUGCGCACCCAAGAUUUAUCGGCAGGGCAUUUAUGCGUCGACGGCUUUUUCUUUUCGUGCAUUGCCUGUGCGGUGGCGCUUUGGGCGAGACGGAAAAAAAAGCCACCAGAGCCCGCGGCGCCCUAAGCGAUUCCGUGGCAACGGCAAAGGAAAGGCGGACGCGCAAGCAAUGGGGGCGGAGGCGAUAGAGGCCGCAAAAAAGGACCGCAUGAUCAAUCGCGAGCGCUUCCUUUUUUUUACUUUUUUUUUUCCCUAUCGACAAGAUGCUUUUGUUUGGCGUCAAAUGUGCACGGCACGCACGAGGACACGAUCGCCCCGAUGGAGCACUCCGUAGUGAGCGGCAAAGAGAAACACGGUGAUGAUGCCGUCUUCGUAAUGCCGUCGGUAGACCACCACGAGCGCCCUCUUGUUGCAGCACAAUCGCGCCAAAGAGUCGACCAUCGACGACUGGGCAUAGUCGAGUGUGGUGCCGAUGACCGCAAGGAGGGCGCGGCCCAUUUCGGCAGCAUCGCGCCCGCAGCCGUCAACGAUGGUUGCACCGACGUCGGCGUUGAUGGCGAGUGGCACGCACUGGUCGGGAUCGAAAAACCACACCACCGUCCCGCAGCGCAUCGCGUGCAUCAGGGCGGGAUCGUACGGACCGCCGUCGUCGACGACUGCCAGUGGAUCGCGAUCCGUCACCUUGAGGCGGGCGACGUCGACGGCGCUCAGGGUCCGGUCAUCACCGCUGCCGCCGUAUAGUGCCACGCGCCGAUGCGCGCUGCGGGUCACCGCCGGCCAUAGGUGGCUCACAAAUGCCACGAGGUCGUGCGCGUCGCGCGACGCCGCGCUACGGCACACGCGCACCACGGGCGUGGAAGCAAACACGUCGAGAAGCAGACACCGCUCGAUCACAGAGCCCAAGUCGACAUCGCCGCGAAGGAACUCGACCCGAGUCCGGAGGGCGCUCUCGACAGUCUCGUCGGGGGCGGGCAUUACGGUCAGGCCAUGGCGCCGCGCGUACUCGACCCACCCGCGAUCGCCCCAUGCUGUUACAACCGCGCGAAAGAAGCGACACGACAGCGACACGGCGAGGCGGUCGCGCGUUGACGUCGAGACAACGUCACCCACGAUCGCCCACCAUAACUCGACGGGCACAAGUUGGGCCGGGCUGCUGUCGCCGCCGAUCUCGCCAAUCGCCCACGGCUGCAUCGACAUGUUUUCCUAUCGGCCCGCUGCUGCUGGUGUCUUGAUCUCGUGCCGGCCACGGCGGGCCUUGCUUUUGUAGUCCCUCCCUCUCAAAAAAAUUGGUGGUUUUCAUU
rnacentral:lncRNA from 1 species